rnacentral:rRNA from 1 species
UACGUAGGGUGCAAGCGUUAAUCGGAAUUACUGGGCGUAAAGCGUGCGCAGGCGGUUUUGUAAGUCUGAUGUGAAAUCCCCGGGCUUAACCUGGGAAUUGCAUUGGAGACUGCACGGCUAGAAUCUGGCAGAGGGGGGUAGAAUUCCACGUGUAGCAGUGAAAUGCGUAGAGAUGUGGAGGAACACCGAUGGCGAAGGCAGCCCCCUGGGUCAAGAUUGACGCUCAUGCACGAAAGCGUGGGGAGCAAACAGG